rnacentral:RNase_P_RNA from 1 species
UGGAUAAUUGCUCCUUUUUGGAGAGGAAAGUCCAUGCUCGCACUAUCUGUGAUGGUAGUAGUGAUUGCGCUAGCGGAAAAAUUAACGCUAGGUAUGCGGGAGCGCAUAACGGCGAAACUAAUCUAAAACUUCGGUCAUGAUGAUGUUUCUGAAAGUGCCACAGUGACGAUUUUAGUAGAAAUGCUAAAGUGGAACGGGUAAACCCCACAAGCGAGAAACCCAAAUUUGGUAGGGGAGGUUAGGAAAGAGAAACGAAUCAAUCCUAGCACACGUAAGUGUAGAUAAAUUAUUAUCCUAGACAAAACAUGGCUUACAG